rnacentral:rRNA from 1 species
UACGAGUGCCUCAAGCGUUAUCCGGAAUUAUUGGGCGUAAAGGGUGUGUAGGUGGUUUUGUUAGUCUCUUGUCAAAUUCUUCGGCUUAACCGGGGGUCCGCAAGGGAAACGGCAAAACUAGAGGAUGCGAGGGGUCUGCGGAACUCAUAGUGUAGCGGUGAAAUGCGUUGAUAUUAUGGGGAACACCAAAAGCGAAGGCAGCAGACUGGAGCACUCCUGACACUGAAACACGAAAGCGUGGGUAGCGAAUGGG